UACGAAGGGUGCAAGCGUUACUCGGAAUUACUGGGCGUAAAGCGUGCGUAGGUGGUGCGUUAAGUCUGUCGUGAAAGCCCCGGGCUCAACCUGGGAAUGGCGAUGGAUACUGGCGCGCUAGAGUGCGGUAGAGGAGAGUGGAAUUCCUGGUGUAGCGGUGGAAUGCGCAGAUAUCAGGAAGAACACCCGUGGCGAAAGCGGCUCUCUGGAACGGUACUGGACGCUGAGACGCGAAA
rnacentral:rRNA from 1 species